rnacentral:rRNA from 1 species
GCGGCGGACGGGUGAGUAAUGCCUAGGAAUCUGCCUAGUAGUGGGGGAUAACUUGCCGAAAGGUAAGCUAAUACCGCAUACGUCCUACGGGAGAAAGCAGGGGACUCUUCGGAGCCUUGCGCUAUUAGAUGAGCCUAGGUCGGAUUAGUUAGUUGGUGAGGUAAUGGCUCACCAAGACUGCGAUCCGUAACUGGUCUGAGAGGAUGAUCAGUCACACUGGUACUGAGACACGGUCCAGACUCCUACGGGAGGCAGCAGUGGGGAAUAUUGGACAAUGGGGGCAACCCUGAUCCAGCCAUGCCGCGUGUGUGAAGAAGGUCUUAGGAUUGUAAAGCACUUUAAGUUGGGAGGAAGGGCAGUUAACUAAUACUUGACUGUUUUGACGUUACCGACAGAAUAAGCACCGGCUAACUUCGUGCCAGCAGCCGCGGUAAUACGAAGGGUGCAAGCGUUAAUCGGAAUUACUGGGCGUAAAGCGCGCGUAGGUGGUUCGUUAAGUUAGGAGUGAAAGCCCCGG